rnacentral:rRNA from 1 species
UACGGAGGGUGCAAGCGUUAUCCGGAUUCACUGGGUUUAAAGGGUGCGUAGGUGGGUUGGUAAGUCAGUGGUGAAAUCUCCAGGCUUAACUUGGAAACUGCCAUUGAUACUAUCAAUCUUGAAUACCGUGGAGGUCAGCGGAAUAUGUCAUGUAGCGGUGAAAUGCUUAGAUAUUGGAAAGAACACCGGCCGCGAAGGCGUUUCACUGGCUCAUUACUGACGCUCAGGGAUGAAAGCUAGGGGAGCAAACGGG